ACCUACCCUUGACAUGUCCGGAAUCCGAAGAGAUUUGGGAGUGCUCGCAAGAGAACCGGAACACAGGUGCUGCAUGGCUGUCGUCAGCUCGUGUCGUGAGAUGUUGGGUUAAGUCCCGCAACGAGCGCAACCCUCGACCUUAGUUGCCAGCAUUCAGUUGGGCACUCUAAGGUGACUGCCGGCUAAAAGUCGGAGGAAGGUGGGGAUGACGUCAAAUCAUCAUGCCCCUUAUGACCUGGGCUACACACGUGCUGCAAUGGGCGGUACAAAGGGUCGCGAACCCGCGAGGGGGAGCUAAUCCCACAAAGCCGAUCGUAGUCCGGAUCGCAGUCUGCAACUCGACUGCGUGAAGUCGGAAUCGCUAGUAAUCGUGGAUCAGCAUGUCACGGUGAAUACGUUCCCGGGUCUU
rnacentral:rRNA from 1 species